AGUAAUAUAUUACUUAUGUUUUUGUUAAUAAAAUAAUAUGUUUAAUAAGAUUUUUAUAAAAAGUUUAAGUUAUUAAUUUGUUUACAUAAAUUAAAUAAAAGUUUUAUUGGGAUAUGUUAAAAUAUUGGAUAUUUAUAUUUAAAAAUAUAUGAUAAUUUAAUUAUUUAAAAUGAGAUUAUAUAAGAAUUGGAAAGGAAAUAUUAAAAUUAGAAUAGUAAUUAUUUGUACUUUUUGCAUAAUGGGUUUAUGAAAAAUAUGAAGUUUUCCAUCUCUAAAAGAGUUGAUCUAAAUUUUUAAUUAAGGAUUGUUGCAGAAAUGUUUAAAUGGGAAUUUAGAAGUGAAAUGCUGAUGAAACUUUUGAUAUAUAGUUCUUAUUAUGUUACUAUAGGUAAUUUUUUAAUAUAAAAUUAUAUAUUAUUGGAUUAGUAAUAAUAUUAAUAUAAAUUUGUUUAAAAGUAAAAGUAAGUUAAUUAUGAAUAAUGUAAGCUUAAAUAUAUAGAAAAAUUUGAUUUUAGGAAUUUGGCAANAAUUGUUUCAUCUGUUUAUCAAAAACAUAGCUUUUUGUAUAUAUAAAAGGUGAUGCCUGCUCAAUGACAAUUAAAUAGCCNUAGUAUUUAUGACUAUGCAAAGGUAGCAUAAUCAUUUGUCUUAUAAAUUAAGACUAGAAUGAAUGGAUUAAUGGGGCAAUGCUUUCUUUGAUCAAAAAUUAAAAAUAAUUUUUUUAGUGAAGAAACUAAAAUNAAAUUAAGGGACGAGAAGACCCUAUUAAGCUUGAAUAAAAUAUUUUUGUUGGGGAAACAAAAGAAANAAUUUUCUUUAAAAANUUUUUUUGAUAAUUUUUGAUUAAUUAUUAAUUAUGAUAGAUUAAGUUACUAUAGGGAUAACAGCAUAAUUUUUUUNNNAAAGUUCUUAUUAACAAAAAAUAUUAUGACNUCGAUGUUGGAUUAAAAUUAUUAUAUAAUGAAGUUGUUGUAUAAAUUAGUCUGUUCGACUAUUGAAUUUUUACAUGAUCUGAGUUCAAAUCGGUGUAAGCCAGAUUGGUUUCUAUCUUUAAAUAUUUUGUAUUAGUACGAAAGGACCAUAUGAAGUUUUUUAGAAAGUUGUUU
rnacentral:rRNA from 1 species